AGGAGGAACAACCGCAGUGGCAGGGCCAGCUCUGGAAACCUGGCUUCAGCUCCCGCGGUAACUACGGAGCUGUCUUCUCUGUCUGCAGGGCCUGGAGGCUCCGGGGCAGG
rfam:Canis lupus familiaris chromosome 1, whole genome shotgun sequence.